AUUGAACGCUGGCGGCAGGCUUAACACAUGCAAGUCGAACGAGUGGCGGACGGGUGAGUAAUGCUUGGGAAUCUGGCUGAUGGAGGGGGAUAACUACGGGAAAAGGUAGCUAAUAACGCGUACCAUAGGAUGAGCCCAGGUGGGAUUAGGUAGUUGGUGAGGUAAAGGCUCACCAAGCCGACGAUCUCUAGCUGGUCUGAGAGGAUGACCAGCCCCACUGGGACUGAGCCGCGGCCCCGACUCCUACGGGAGGGAGCAGUGGGGAAUAUUGCGCAAUGGGGGCAACCUGACGCAGCCAUGCCGCGUGAAUGAAGAAGGCCUUCGGGUUGUAAAGUUCUUUCGGUAGCGAAGCGUUAACUACAGAAGAAGCACCGGCUAACUCCGUGCCAGCAGCCGCGGUAAUAC
rnacentral:rRNA from 1 species